UACGGAGGGGGCUAGCGUUGUUCGGAAUUACUGGGCGUAAAGCGCACGUAGGCGGUUUGUUAAGUCGGGAUGUGAAAUCCCUCGGCUCAAUUGAGGAAGUGCAUCCGAAACUGGCAGCUUGAGUACGAAAGAGGGUCGCGGAAUUCCCGGUGUAGAGGUGAAAUUCGUAGAUAUCGGGAGGAACACCGGUGGCGAAGGCGGCGACCUGGGACGAUACUG
rnacentral:rRNA from 1 species